rnacentral:rRNA from 1 species
CGGCCUGAGAGGGUGAACGGACACACUGGAACUGAGACACGGUCCAGACUCCUACGGGAGGCAGCAGUAGGGAAUAUUGCUCAAUGGGGGAAACCCUGAAGCAGCAACGCCGCGUGGAGGAUGAAGGUUUUCGGAUUGUAAACUCCUUUUGUUAGAGAAGAUAAUGACGGUAUCUAACGAAUAAGCACCGGCUAACUCCGUGCCAGCAGCCGCGGUAAUACGGAGGGUGCAAGCGUUACUCGGAAUCACUGGGCGUAAAGAGCGCGUAGGCGGGAUAGCAAGUCAGAUGUGAAAUCCUAUGGCUUAACCAUAGAACUGCAUUUGAAACUGUUAUUCUAGAGUAUGGGAGAGGUAGGUGGAAUUCUUGGUGUAGGGGUAAAAUCCGUAGAGAUCAAGAGGAAUACUCAUUGCGAAGGCGACCUGCUAGAACAUAACUGACGCUGAUGCACGAAAGCGUGGGGAGCAAACAGGAUUAGAUACCCUGGUAGUCCACGCCCUAAACGAUGAAUGCUAGUUGUUGCCCUGCUUGACAGGGCAGUAAUGCAGCUAACGCAUUAAGCAUUCCGCCUGGGGAGUACGGUCGCAAGAUUAAAACUCAAAGGAAUAGACGGGGACCCGCACAAGCGGUGGAGCAUGUGGUUUAAUUCGAAGAUACGCGAAGAACCUUACCUAGGCUUGACAUUGAUAGAAUCCUAUAGAGAUAUGGGAGUGCCCUUUUAGGGAGCUUGAAAACAGGUGCUGCACGGCUGUCGUCAGCUCGUGUCGUGAGAUGUUGGGUUAAGUCCCGCAACGAGCGCAACCCUCGUCCUUAGUUGCUAGCAGUUCGGCUGAGCACUCUAAGGAGACUGCCUUCGUAAGGAGGAGGAAGGUGAGGACGACGUCAAGUCAUCAUGGCCCUUACGCCUAGGGCUACACACGUGCUACAAUGGGGCGCACAAAGAGGAGCAAUACCGCGAGGUGGAGCAAAUCUCUAAAACGUCUCUCAGUUCGGAUUGUAGUCUGCAACUCGACUACAUGAAGCUGGAAUCGCUAGUAAUCGUGAAUCAGCCAUGUCACGGUGAAUACGUUCCCGGGUCUUGUACUCACCGCCCGUCACACCAUGGGAGUUGUAUUCGCCUUAAGUCGGAAUGCCAAACUGGCUACCGCCCACGGCGGAUG